rnacentral:tRNA from 1 species
GCCCAGGUGUCGAAAUUUGGUAAACGAGCAUGGUUGAGGGCCAUGUGCCGCAAGGCUUGGAGGUUCGAGUCCUCUCCUGGGCA